AUCAAUGAAAUGCAGCUCCCCGACACCAGCAGCACUCAUGCAGCCCCAUAUAUAUAUAUAUAUAUAUAUAUAUAUAUAUAUAUAUAUAUAUAAUUUAUUAGAUAUAAGUCACAUUCAAGAUCCACUUGGCUCACUAAUUUAAGGGGGCACAUGACACAGUUCGGUGGGUAGACUGUGUGUCUGCCACCAUGUGUGCGUUUUUUCAUACAUGCAAAAUGCUCGUGUGUUCAAGUGAUUGAUUAGAUGAGUGAGUAAUGUGUGUGUGAGUGUGUGUUUAACAGUUAACGCAGCAGGGAGUGGACAGAAGGGCCAAGUGUGACAGGUGGACAGGCAUGAUAAGGAGAGAGCAGUGCAGCCCAGCGCUCAGCAGAAGCAGAGCCCAGGAGAAUAUCCAGCCAAAAGCAGCUAAUAGCUGAUACUCAUCAGAGAUAGAGCCACUGAAGAUUUCCUGUCUCUGUGGAAUAGUCUGUUCAUUCAGCUCCAGCCCAAAUUCUCCUCCCUAAACAUGUACUGUAUUUUAUACAGUCGUGACAACAUGUUGUUGAUCAAGUUUUGUACAAAAGGACAAUUAAAGUUGGGACUGAUGGAACAUGCCAUGAUUUCUACAGAUUUCACACCAGUGUCUCCUUGAGUUUCAGAGAUGAUCUCAGCAACUGUUGUAACUGCAAGAACCCAACAUGAUUUCAGGUUCCGAACAGAUCUCUUUUGGUCAAAGUUCAAAGGACGAGAGCGACCCACUAAACGUGUCUUUACACUGCCGAGCCCACGCUUGUAAUUUUUGUAAUGCCCCAGGUCCCAUGAAUUCAAGCGACGGCCCUCUCUGUGAGACAAAUACAUGUACCUGAGAGAUUUUCAGGGACGAAAUGGAAAGAUAGAGAGCGAACGAGAAAAAUAAAUGCAAAUUAUGAAUCCGUUUACAAAACACCGGCAAGAGGAAGUUCACAGUCUCCAAGGCACCAGAUUACUCCAUUGAUCCGAACCCAAAAUGGCUCCAUGUCUGGCAUUUUCAGAGGCCGUUUCCAAGUCAAUGUCAUCCUAUCGGCCCCAUACUAAAAGAGACAAAUACGACUGGAAUAAGCAGGAAGCCUUUACUCUGAUGAGAGGUCUCACUUCCUGUUUAUGGAGCAACCACUGGAGCAAAACAAUAGCUGGAAUUUUGAUGGAUCGGCAGAGAGGACGCCCAACUCGCGCCCUCCAGAAAAAAAGCUUCAGUUUGUCACUAUUGCUUACAAUACAACAACACAAUCUAUUCUCAUACCAAAAAUUAAUAAUUAAAACUAUUUAUUUAUUUAUUUUGGAGUGAAUCCUCUGGACUUUUCUUACAAUUUUAGUGAGAUUCAUCCAUUUACUUUACUACAGCUCAACGACAACAAUAGCCUCUCGUGCUAUUGUACAAAGGGCUGUUUUGGCUCAAGCCUGAUCAAAAUGGUGGUGUCGAGCAUUCCCCUCGCUGAGGGAUAUGUCAUGUCGGGCUCUCUGGGAUUUGAGGUCAGUCCAGCUGGACGUCUGGUGCCAAAAUGAGGUGGAUUACACCCUUUAAUCCCAGUUACCCCAAGGAAGUGAACUAAAGCUUCCAGCGUCCUUCUCCAAACCACAGACUUCAUUCAGCUGAUGAACCUCUUUAAACAGGCUUGGUGAAGUGUGACACAACAGUGCUACUAUCACUUGUCACGAUACAAAAAAAAAACAGAUGUAAAAGAGUUUUGCCCUCGGGGGACCAGCGGCACCGACUGCCGAGAUGAAUUAUAUAUUUACACUGUAUCAUGUGACGAGUGUUAAGACUUAGAAGCCUUGUCAGGAAAAUACAUGUAGAAUACUUCUGUCAAUUCCUUAGAAUUGUCAAAAUGAGGAUGUAAAAAGUUUGGUGACAAUUUUACAAUAAGGUUGCAUAUGCAAACAUCAGUUAAUGCUACUGCUAGGCUACUACUGUUAGUUAAUGCAUUAACUAAAAGUAUAAACUUUAAUGUCAUGAAUUUAUUACGUAGAAUACUAUACAAAAUAAAUGCUGUUCGUAAACCAAACUUUUGUCUUACACUGACAUGAGAAUUUUCUGUAAAUUUAUGUAUCUUCCUACAAACAAAAGGGCUGCCUAGGCAACUAUAUUGAUAUAUUGAUUUCAGAUAUAACACUGCAAUAGCGAGACUUUUUUUAAACAAGAGUUUACUGAAGAUCCUGGAAGUAAAAGUAUGCACUUGCACUAGAAAAAUGCACAAGAAACUCAGAAACAGACUUCAACAACUUGAGAAAUUUGAACAGAAGGGAUGCACUGUAUUGGAUAUUAGAGGUUUGGCACUGAAUGCUAGCUUUAUUUUUCUCAAUAAGCGAAUUCCCUUGAGCUUGAGCUAUUAAUAAUCUCUGAGCUCUUUCUCAGAGGAACAGCUGUUGGGGAAGCUGAAAUUUGCAAAUAUUCCCAACCUAGGCUCAUUGGAAAAACAUGCCUCUAACCACAUUUUUGCAAAAACUCCAAAAAUGUACCUUUACAUAUAAUUCAUUGCAUUUUCCAGGUGAAAUGAAAACUAGUGAUAGUAAAACACUGAUAACUUUUCUUUCUGUUCACACAAAUUGUAUUUACUGAGGCAAAUUAAUGAUUAAUGAAGACCUAUAUUUUCCAUAAUUAAUACAUUUUGACAUUUGCAUCACAUAACCAGCUCUAUAGACCCUUUUAAUGUUUGUACACAAUGAUGACGUAGCAACGUAUGCGCGCACAUUUUGGCAACGAAACUAUGGUGUCAAGCUACGCGAGCGGAUUAAGCAACACAGACAGAGAAAGUUAUUUUAAAAAGUUGACUUUAUCAAAUGGUAUCCGGCUACCAGAUCCGUGUACUAUAGCGGAGUGGAUAGAAGAUGUUAGCAGAUGGCCAAAUAUACAGUGGCCACAUAUACGUAUUUAGUUGAGAAACCGAGCGUGUACACCCGAGAGAAAUUAUGAGCAUAUAAAUCAUAUAAAUCACAUCUAACACGUUAGAACCACUGGGGAACAACACCACUUCCAUUGCCAAAAUGCGCGCGCGACUAUUUGAUCACGUGGGCUGUAAAAGGGUCUAUAUGUAUGGCUUUACUGACAUAGUAAACUUGCUCAGUACCUCACCUGGUACAGCACUGCACGUGCAAUGUGGAGCAUUUGGGUAAGAGUGAAAGACAUAAGUCCUGAUAAAAGAGCUCAAAUACUUGUAGAAGCAAGCUAAAAUGGAAUUACUGCCUCAGAAUAUGCGUUUUUAUCUCACGUUUUCUUUUUGUUAACACUAUCGGUUAGUUUUAUUGUAGGAUUUAGUGUUGGUGGAAAGUUUUCAAAUGCAAUUAAACUUUUACUUCCACUCACCACGAUAUCCACAAUUUCCAAAGUAAUAAAAUGUUGUCAGAUUAAUAUUCAUAUGUUUUGGAUAAAACUGAACACAUUUUAGUGUCACACAAUGGUUAAUUAAGUUCGAAAGAGUUGUGAGAUUUUCAAGAAGCCACAUAACAUCAUUUUGCAGAAAUGUCACCACAAGCCUGUUUUUCCACUGAACCUAGGAUGAAUAUUUCAGAUCGUUUUUCCACUUUAAAACCAAAAAACUUUGGCCACCCAUAUGACCAAUACUCUCCCUUCCCAUUUACACAAUCACUAUCCUUUCAAAAUAAUAUCAUAAAUCCAUUUUUAAAGCAACGAUCAAUCAAAGCAGCAUCAAAUAUUUAGCUGCAUUAAACACAAAGUACACAAAUGAAGAUAUAACGUGCAGUGCUUUUCGACAUGUUGUUUUACAGACAAACUAGACUCUGAAUAAUUUACAGCAGCAAGGCCUUGACAUCCACAGGAUCCAAUUAGUUGAAAUCCACAUGCAAUCAGUCCACAGGAAAAAGGCACAACAGGGACAUCUCCAGAGAGAUGAGACACUAUUAGCAAGUUUCUAAAAUACAGAGGAGUGCAUUGCAUAAAGACAAGAGCAAACACACUGCUGCUUUAACAAAACAUGGAAUCCUUGAAAUCAGAUCAGUGGACAAAGAAUGUGAUACUCGUAUACAAAUAACUCAGACACUCAAACAAACCUCUGAUAAGACUGAGUAACAGCUGUGCUUUAAAUAGCAACAGCUAUAGUGUUAGAUAUUUUGUUUGAUAUAGUAUAACAUUUUGUAUAGCACUAUAGUGUAUUAUGAUCUGCUAAGACAUUUGCUUUUGGUUUUGUAAAAUGUAUUUUUUAAGUAAUCAGUUUAAGUAAAAUAAAUAAAAGCAUCUGGUUGUUAAAGGCAAAACUCGGACCAGCUGAAUGUUUGUCCUUCCCAAAGUUUUAAAACAACUUUCCACAAAUCAUGUGAAGAACUAUUCAGAUUGUUAAUGGUUUCCUUCAAAACAAAGAUUGUAACUAUGAAUUUGUUUCUUCUGCUGAAAACAGAUCAUUUGAAGAAUGUGUCAACUGUUUUUCUGCAGACAAUGAAAGUCAAUGGGGUCUGAUGUUGUUUUUUGUUCCACAAAGGAAUAAAAAUCCAUACAAGUUUAGUUCAACACAAGAGUAAUUAAAUUACGACAGUUUUCAUUCUUGGGUGAACUAUUGUUUAAAAGUCAUUAACACAAAAACUGUAUCACUAAUCUAAACAUUGAAGUUGGUUAUGGUGGUUACAGCCAUCACUAACAGUGGCACAUGAGAGUAAACUACUAAAACAAAACUAACAAGGCAAGUCUAGAUAGCAGAAUCCGUCCUAGACAGUUCACAAAGAGAUCCCAUACCAGAAAGUACCAAUGUGAAACUAAAAUUCCUUGUGACUUUAUCAGUCAGAUUGGGUGGUUUGCAUUACAAGCUCAAGAGAAAAAGAGCUGUUUCAGUUCUGUCUAAGGGUGGAGUUGCCACAACUGUUUGUGUGGUUUCCAGCCAAUGGCAACAAUGACUUGUUUCUAUAAUCUCAAAUGGAAGAUUUGUUAGACAUUGUGUGAUUAUGCACUACUGAAUAAAGUACCAUAAAGGGUUCUUAGCAUAGUAUAGUCAGGUUUGGUCUAGUGUGGCAUUGUUAUGGCUUGAUGUUAUGUGGUUUGGAGAGUAUUAUGUUCUAAAUGUAUUACAUGAUCUGGUUUAUCCAGGUUUGGUUUGCUAUCUAAUUUGGCCUUUCAUGGUAUCAUAUGAUCGGUCUUUGCUGCAGUACCAUCUUUCAGCAUUGCUAUGGUCUGGAAAGGUCUGGUCUUAGUUUGAUAUGAUAUGGUUGUUUAUGCUGCAAUGAGGUAAAGACACAAUUAAAGGGUUAGUUCACCCAAAAAUGAAAAUUCUGUCAGUAAUUACUCACCCUCAUGUUGUUCCACACCCGUAAGA